rnacentral:lncRNA from 1 species
GCUUGCUCACACCUGCUUUUACUCUGUGAGUUGUACUUUUGCUUCUUCAAUAAAUCUGUGCCUUUGUUACUCCGUUCUUUUGUUGUUUUGCUUGUGCGUUUUGUUUAAUUCUUUGUUUGAAACCCCAAGAACCUGGACAACUCACAGUCAAGACCUUCCGUCCGGUAACAAAGCAACAGACCUCAGUCAUGUCAUCUGCUUACAAAGGAGCCACGGGUAUCGCUCUGCCUCCCAGGCUGGAGUGCAGUGGCACAAUCACAGCUCACUGCAGCCUCGACCUUCUCGGCUCAAGCAAUCCUCCUACCUCAGCCUCCUGAGUAGCUGGGAUUGCAGGCAUUCAUCACCACACCCAGAAAUCCAUUGCUUGCUAAUGUUUGUUUGUUUGUUUUUGGAGCUGGUGUCUGGAGCUGGUUCUCCACCUGUUGUGAGUUCCUGGAAAGAUCUCAAGACCUAUCCCAUUUUCCUCCUAGUGAAGGUUGAUAUUCAUAAUAGUUGACACUCAGUACAGCACAGACACCGACCAAUUCAAACUGACAGAGGUCUUAAGCAAUUUUCAUGACAAUAUUGGUGUAUAGAGCUGAAUAUUUGUUCUACACAUAGAAGGCAUCCAAUAAAAAAUUUUGAAUUGAAUUUUAUUGGUUUAGUAGUCCUGGCUGUGGUAUCUAAUGGCCUUCUUUCAGAAGUCAGGCAGCUUUUAAUUUUUUUGUCCAAAUAUGAUCAUAAUGAUUUCUUUUCCU